AAAUGAAUAGACGGGGGCCCGCACAAGCGGAGGAACAUGUGGUUUAAUUCGAUGAUACGCGAGGAACCUUACCCGGGCUUGAAUUGCAGAGGAAUGUCGUGGAAACAUGGCAGCUAGUAAUAGUCUCUGUGAAGGUGCUGCAUGGUUGUCGUCAGCUCGUGCCGUGAGGUGUCGGCUUAAGUGCCAUAACGAGCGCAACCCUCAUAUUCAGUUACUAACAGGUUAAGCUGAGGACUCUGGAUAGACUGCCGUCGUAAGAUGUGAGGAAGGUGGGGAUGACGUCAAAUCAGCACGGCCCUUACGUCCGGGGCGACACACGUGUUACAAUGGGGGGUACAGAAGGUUGCUACACAGCGAUGUGAUGCUAAUCCCAAAAGCCUCUCUCAGUUCGGAUCGAAGUCUGCAACCCGACUUCGUGAAGCUGGAUUCGCUAGUAAUCGCGCAUCAGCCAUGGCGCGGUGAAUACGUUCCCGGGCCUUGUACACACCGCCCGU
rnacentral:rRNA from 1 species